GAGGGUAUAGCUCAAGUGGUAGAGCACAUGCUUAGUAUGCAUGAGGUCCUGGGUUCAAUCCCCAGUACCUCCU
rnacentral:tRNA from 1 species